rnacentral:lncRNA from 1 species
AUAUUGUCAGGCCUCUGAGCCCAAGCCAAGCCAUCGCAUCCCCUGUGACUUGCAUGUAUAUGCCCAGAUGGCCUAAAGUAACUGAAGAAUCACAAAAGAAGUGAAAAUGCCCUGCCCCACCUUAACUGAUGACAUACCACCCCCCAAAAAUUUUCACCGCCCCCACACUUCAACACUAUUUUGUUUUAUUUUUCUUAUUAAUAUAAGAAGGCAGGAAUGUCAGGCCUCUGAGCCCAAGCCAAGCCAUCGCAUCCCCUGUGACUUGCAUGUAUAUGCCCAGAUGGCCUGAAGCAACUGAAGAAUCACAAAAGAAGUGAAAAUGCCCUGCCCCACCUUAACUGAUGACGUUCCACCACAAAAGAAGUGUAAAUGGCCGGUCCUUGCCUUAAGUGAUGACAUUACCUUGUGAAAUUCCUUCUCCUGGCUCAUCCUGCCUCAAAAGCUCCCCCACUGAGCACCUUGUGG